CUUCUGUCAGUCUUGUGGUGUGAUCAUUACCCAACCAAUAAUUGAAGGCUCAAAUGAGGGGGUUUGGUCAGGUACUAUAUUACAAGACGCUAAAAGCACAUUAUACUCGGCUUCAUGACCUGUCUACAUUAAUCAUACAGUGAGACAGAAUCAGGAGACUGUGAAUGGAAUACUUCAAGAGCGCUCGGCUUGAUCAUUAAAGAUGUUUUCCCACAACAGAUCAAUUCCAAUAUAAGAAGACUUGCAAAAUAAAACUAAAAAAAGGUGAAAAGAGGCAUUGCGAAUAAAGCUCCACAUCUACUAGCUGUCAACAUCUCACACAAGGUCGUCCAUAUUGCUCCGAAUGUAGCAGACUCAAGUGUAUGGAGCAUGACCACCAAGACUUCUGAUUGGCUGCGGCAGUGAAGAGACAUCCGCUGCUCAUGUAAUACCAGAGAGCCAACAGAAGACAUCCACUGCUAAACACUGGAGGCAGAACGGGAGAUGAGCGUGGGAACAGUGUAGGAACAGAGGCAGAGAUUACAUCCUCCACGAGGUGCAAGAGGAAAAGGGAAAAGAAGCCAACAGGAAGAAAUCCGUCAUUGCCUUUAUCUUGUAGCCUGACAGCUGGAAACUGUCUGGUAAAUCUCAGAACUGCUGACAAGACCCUGCUGCCUGGAAGGAGUUACAGAACAUUUAUGCAGAUGGACAUAUUCAAGAAGAAACCAACCCUAGUGUUCUGGACAAGUAACGCCUGCCUUGCAUAUUACUGACAAGAGCAAAAUGUAAUGCUGUACUUACUGUUAUAAACUAAAUGAAGGCAGCUUUGG